rnacentral:rRNA from 1 species
UUAGGAAUUUUGCGCAAUGGACGAAAGUCUGACGCAGCGACAUCGCGUGAAGGAUGAAGGCCUUAGGGUCGUAAACUUCUUUUAUUUUGCCAUGAAGGCAUUUUGAAUCAACAGCUACUAACUACGUGCCAGCAGUCGCGGUAAUACGUAGGCUGUAAGCGUUACCCGGUUUUAUUGGGCGUAAAGCGUCUGUAGGUGGUUUGAUAAGUCUUGUUUCAAAGUCCCCGGCUCAACCGGGGGUAGGGGCAGGAUACUGUCAGACUAGAGUGAUAUCGGGGUUACUGGAAUUUGUAGUGUAGGGGUAAAAUCCGUGGAUACUACAAAGAACACCAAGCGCGAAGGCGGGUAACCAGGUAUAUACUGACACUCAGAGACGAAAGCUAGGGUAGCCAAUCAG